UUAUAAAAUUCAGAUUUUGCC
ensembl:piRNA 21ur-8364 ncRNA